GCUCUCGUGGCCUAAUGGUUAGGGCAUCCGAUUUCUACUCGGAGGAUUGGGGGUUCAAGUCCCUCCGAGAGUU